AAGCGUUACUCCGGAACUAUCGGGCGUAAAGCGCGGCGUAGGCGGUUUCUCUAAGCUCUUGAUGUGAAAGCCCACGGCUCAUACCGUGGAGGGCUCAUUGGAAACUGGGAAAACCUGAGUGCAGAAGAGGAAAGUGGAUUUCCAUGUGUAGCGGUGAAAUGCGCAGAGAUAUGGAGGAACACCAGUGGCGAAGGCGACUUUCUGGUCUGUAACUGACGCUGAUGUGCGAAAGCGUGGGGAUCAAACAGGAUUAGAUACCUUGGUAGUCCACGCCGUAAACGAUGAGUGCUAAGUGUUAGGGGGUUUCCGCCCUUUAGUGCUGCAGCUAACGCAUUAAGCAUUCCGCCUGGGGAGUACGACCGCAAGGUUGAAACUCAAAGGAGCUGACGGGGACCCGCACAAGCGGUGGAGCAUGUGGUUUAAUUUGAAGCAACGCGAAGAACCUUACCAAAUCUUGACAUCCUUUGACCGCUCUAGAGAUAGAGUCUCCCCUUCGGGGGACAAGGUGACAGGUGGUGCAUGGUUGUCGUCAGGUGGUGUGGUGAGAUGUUGGGUUAAGUCCCGCAACGAGAGCAACCCUUAAGCUUAGUUGCCAUCAUUAAGUUGGGCACUCUAAGUUGACUGCCGGUGACAAACCGGAGGAAGGUGGGGAUGACGUCAAAUCAUCAGGCCCCUUACAAUUUGGACUACACACAAGACACAAUGGACCUUACAAACGACGGCUAACAAGCGAGGUCAAGCAAUUACCAUAAAGAUGUUAUCAAAAAGGCAAAUAU
rnacentral:rRNA from 1 species